UACGUAGGUGGCAAGCGUUGUCCGGAUUUACUGGGCGUAAAGAGCGCGCAGGCGGUCGUAUAAGUCGAAUGUGAAAGCCCCCGGCUCAACUGGGGAGGGUCAUUCGAUACUGUUCGACUCGAAGGCAGGAGAGGGAAGUGGAAUUCCGGGUGUAGUGGUGAAAUGCGUAGAUAUCAGGAAGAACACCCGUGGCUAAGGCGGCUCUCUAGUACGGUACUGACGCUGAGACGGCGGAAAAGCGUGGGGAGCCGAACGAGGGAAUGAUAA
rnacentral:rRNA from 1 species